rnacentral:lncRNA from 1 species
GUUGUUUUGUUGUGUGUGGACAGCUGAGAGUCAUUUCCUCAUCUUUAUUCCAAACGAAGCUGGACACUCCCUUUUCAUUUUUGAAAAGUAAUCUGUGUGAGAAGGCAGCCAGCAUGUUUACCCACUGGGCUUGGAGCCAGACUUCUUUCCCUGGUUCUUCCUCUCUCUGUUUCUCAAUCUCCCCUGCUCUAAGAUGGCCAGAUAUGAAAAGCUGCCAAUCGGGAUGCCAGAACAUCAAAGAGAUCGCUCAUGAGAGCACACAAAGUCCCAUUUGUUCAGCACUUGGACGGAGAUGCCAGCAGCUUCCAGGCAGAGGGAGAAUCGAAGGUUUGUCUUCACUUGACUUCUCGCUCACACCAUCUGGCUGAUGGAGAAUCCUUUCAUUUCUUCCCGUGGCUGGACCAAAGGGAGAAUGACUGUGAAUAGAAGUGCCUUUUCAACCUUCACUUUGAGUUCUAGCCACUUCAUUUGUAGUCUCUGCAGGAGGAAGAAGGAGACGGAAAGGGUAAAAGGACUUCUUUCUCAGCUGUCAUUCCACUGCAAAGCAAAGCAUCUUCCUGGAAGACACACACAAUGACUUCUGCUUGGCUACUCCAAGAGAGUCAAGAAAAUGAGUCUUUAGCUGAGUUCAUCAAGAGUUUACUGUGGUCUAUAAAACAAAUGAUCAAACUUCUGCUUUUUCGUUACAAAAAAAAAUAGUGAAAAGCAAAUCUGUAUCUCUUUCUUGAGACCCACUCUUCCCUAUCCCUGAACCUCCCACGUCCCUACCCCUUCUCCCCAAGCUGAGAAAUGGGACAGUAAUGCUCAGAUGGAAUGAGAGAUGGGCUAACGCUCAAAGAUACCUCAGAAAUGUGUACUUGGAAAUAAA